rnacentral:rRNA from 1 species
GCGCGAAAACUUUACAAUGCUGGCAACAGCGAUAAGGGAACCUCGAGUGCCGGGUUACAAAUCUGGCUGUCGAGAUGCCUAAAAAGCAUUUCAUAGCAAGGGCCGGGCAAGACCGGUGCCAGCCGCCGCGGUAACACCGGCGGCUCGAGUGGUAACCGUUAUUAUUGGGUCUAAAGGGUCUGUAGCCGGCCGGAUAAGUCUCUUGGGAAAUCUGGCAGCUUAACUGUCAGGCUUUCAGGAGAGACUGUCUGGCUCGAGGCCGGGAGAGGUAAGAGGUACUUCAGGGGUAGGGGUGAAAUCUUGUAAUCCUUGAAGGACCACCAGUGGCGAAGGCGUCUUACCAGAACGGACCUGACGGCAAGGGACGAAAGCUAGGGGCACGAACC